GGGAAAGAUGAAAAGCACUUUGGAAAGAGAGUUAAACAGUACGUGAAAUUGUUGAAAGGGAAACGCUUGAAGUCAGUCGCGUCGUCCAGAACUCAACCUGGCUUUUGCUUGGUGCACUUUCUGGUUGACGGGCCAACAUCAGUUUUGACUGUCGGAAAAAGUCCUUAGGAAUGUGGCACCUCCGGGUGUGUUAUAGCCUUUGGUCGUAUACGAUGGUUGGGACUGAGGACCGCAGCACGCCUUUUGGCCGGGGUUCGCCCACGUACGUGCUUAGGAUGUUGGCGUAAUGG
rnacentral:rRNA from 1 species